UGGUGGGUAGUUUGACUGGGGCGGUCUCCUCCUAAAGAGUAACGGAGGAGCACGAAGGUUGGCUAAUCCUGGUCGGACAUCAGGAGGUUAGUGCAAUGGCAUAAGCCAGCUUGACUGCGAGCGUGACGGCGCGAGCAGGUGCGAAAGCAGGUCAUAGUGAUCCGGUGGUUCUGAAUGGAAGGGCCAUCGCUCAACGGAUAAAAGGUACUCCGGGGAUAACAGGCUGAUACCGCCCAAGAGUUCAUAUCGACGGCGGUGUUUGGCACCUCGAUGUCGGCUCAUCACAUCCUGGGGCUGAAGUAGGUCCCAAGGGUAUGGCUGUUCGCCAUUUAAAGUGGUACGCGAGCUGGGUUUAGAACGUCGUGAGACAGUUCGGUCCCUAUCUGCCGUGGGCGCUGGAGAACUGAGGGGGGCUGCUCCUAGUACGAGAGGACCGGAGUGGACGCAUCACUGGUGUUCGGGUUGUCAUGCCAAUGGCACUGCCCGGUAGCUAAAUGCGGAAGAGAUAAGUGCUGAAAGCAUCUAAGCACGAAACUUGCCCCGAGAUGAGUUCUCCCUGAGACUUAGAGUCUCCUGAAGGAACGUUGAAGACGACGACGUUGAUAGGCCGGGUGUGUAAGCGCAGCGAUGCGUUGAGCUAACCGGUACUAAUGAACCGUGAG
rnacentral:rRNA from 1 species